ensembl:lncRNA novel transcript
CACAAGAUUUUGAGAACCCAGAUUCAAAUAAAGAAAUAGAUAUGGCCAGGUGCGAUGGCUCACGCCUGUAAUCCCAGCACUUUGGGAGGCCGAGGCGGGCGGAUCACGAGAGACAGGGUCUUGCUCUAUUGUCCAGGCUGGAUUCAACCUUGUGGGCUCAAGUGAUCCUCCUGCCUCAGCCUCUGGAGUAGCUGGG